UACGGAGGGGGCUAGCGUUGUUCGGAAUUACUGGGCGUAAAGCGCACGUAGGCGGCUUUGUAAGUUAGAGGUGAAAGCCUGGUGCUCAACACCAGAACUGCCUUUAAGACUGCAUCGCUUGAAUCAUGGAGAGGCGGGUGGAAUUCCGAGUGUAGAGGUGAAAUUCGUAGAUAUUCGGAAGAACACCAGUGGCGAAGGCGGCCCGCUGGACAUGUAUUGACGCUGAGGUGCGAAAGCGUGGGGAGCAAACAGG
rnacentral:rRNA from 2 species